AGCAACGUGAGCUGGGAGGACCGGGGGAGCUACAGCUGCUCCUAUCAGAACAGAUCGGGGUCAGCCGCCGCAUCGCCCCCCAGCGACCCCGUGGAGCUGGUGGUGAGAGGAGACAAAGGAUUCCUGCCUUCUGCCAAAGCUAUUAAAGGAACAGAACGAAGUGGGUCUCAGUCAUGUUGAAUCCCCUGCUUUUCACCUAAGAUAUCUGCUGGAA